AGAGAAUGGCGAAACAGCUACCGGAGAGUUCUUUAGGAAGAAGGACUAGUGGAGGAAGCAUCCUAGGCUCAGCAAUAAGCUUCACCAUGCCCUUCUUGGUCGUGGCCCUCGGAGUCGCCACCUUUGACGUCUACCUGGUCGCAACUAAGUGUACCAUUUAAGAGAUCAAAUUCAUCAGCACCGUCGCCGAUUUUUGGUGCACGCUCCGAAUUCGAAUCUACGAGACUGAAAAUGAUGCUGAAUUUUGUAAAAUCUCUCACUGACCAAUGAGUUACAGAAGGUAAUCUUUAUAUUUGGUUGCAAAAUAUUUUGAUGCUACCAUUGAAAAGGGAGCAGAUGUGAAAUCGGCUACCAACUGGAUUAUGGGUGAUAUUGCUGCCUAUAUGAAAAAUGAAAAGUUGACUAUUGAUGAGAUUAAGCUGACGCCUUAGGAGUUGGCUGAGUUGAUAGCUUCAAUACAAGCUGGUAUUAUUAGUGGGAAAAUUGGAAAAGAGAUAUUGUUUAAGCUAUUGGUCAAAGGUGGAACUGUCAAGGGACUCAUAGAAGAAAAGGAUUUGGUUCAGGCAAG